AUUGAACGCUGGCGGCAGGCCUAACACAUGCAAGUCGAGCGGAUGAAGGGAGCUUGCUCCUGGAUUCAGCGGCGGACGGGUGAGUAAUGCCUAGGAAUCUGCCUGGUCGUGGGGGAUAACGUCCGGAAACGGGCGCUAAUACCGCAUACGUCCUGAGGGAGAAAGUGGGGGAUCUUCGGACCUCACGCUAUCAGAUGAGCCUAGGUCGGAUUAGCCAGUUGGUGGGGUAAAGGCCUACCAAGGCGACGAUCCGUAACUGGUCUGAGAGGAUGAUCAGUCACACUGGAACUGAGACACGGUCCAGACUCCUACGGGAGGCAGCAGUGGGGAAUAUUGGACAAUGGGCGAAAGCCUGAUCCAGCCAUGCCGCGUGUGUGAAGAAGGUCUUCGGAUUGUAAAGCACUUUAAGUUGGGAGGAAGGGCAGUAAGUUAAUACCUUGCUGUUUUGACGUUACCAACAGAAUAAGCACCGGCUAACUUCGUG
rnacentral:rRNA from 1 species